CCAAUUUGUAAAUAUGGGCAUUAGUAAUAACCUUUAACAGUUUUUUAAAAAAUGAUUGACGCACUAUGUGUAUUUCAGAUAGAUGAGCCUUUCUGCAAUGGAAAUGGAUCAAAAAUUAUAGAAAAUUUUCUAUAAAAAGUUAAAAAUCAGUUCAUAUUAUAGAAAUGUGACUGACAAGCAAUGUUGACAAAAUAUGCCAGAAUAUUAGGAAACUGCCUCUUGCAAGUUUCUUCAGCAGAUGGCGGCAGAGGACUGCAUAGUACAUCCAAAUUGCUAAGUUUUCAAGCUGUGAAACAAUGUUUGCCCCAAAACUUACUUGCUGUAAUUUGGUGUUUAUGAGGAUCAGCAGGAGCACUGAUUCACAUCACCUUGCACUGACAGAUUGCCUUAUGUGUCCCAUAGAGUCUAUAAGGAACAACAGUUUAAUUCUAUAGGUAUUUUGUGAGAUUCUUUCAUGUUUUAGGUAUUCAUGACGAUCUUUCUCUUUCAGCAGGCAUUAACGAUUUUAUACCUGAUUACCAGCCCUCCCCUAUGACUGACUCAGGGCUUAGCUCAAGUUCUACCUCUUCUAGUAUCAGCUUAGGAAAUAACAGUGCUGCCAUUUCACAUCUGCACACCACUAUCCUCAAUGAGGUUGACAUCUCAGUGGAGCAGGAUGGAAAAGUCAAAACCCUCAUGGAAUUCAUUACCUCAAGAAAAAGAGGGCCCCUUUGGAACCAUGAGGAUGUUUCUGCCAAGAAUCCUAGCAUAAAGAGUGCUGAACAGUUAACUACAUUUUUGAAACAUGUGGUUUCUGUUUUUAAGCAGUCAAGCUCAGAAGGAAUUCAUCUGGAACAUCACCUUAGUGAAGUUGCUCUGCAAACAGCACUUUCCUGUUCUUCUCGACACUAUGCUGGGAGAUCCUUUCAGAUUUUCAGGGCCCUAAAGCAGCCUCUCACUGCAACUACACUUUCUGAUGUUCUCUCCAGACUUGUAGAAACUGUAGGGGAUCCAGGAGAAGAUGCACAGGGAUUUGUGAUUGAGCUUCUUCUCACAUUGGAAUCUGCAAUUGAUACUUUGGCUGAAACCGUGAAGCAUUAUGAUCUUCUUUCUGCCCUUUCUCAAACCUCAUAUCAUGAUCCUAUAAUGGGAAACAAGUAUGCAGCUAACAGGAAAAGCACUGGACAACUCAAUCUAAGCACAAGUCCCAUUAAUAGUAGCAGUUAUUUGGGAUAUAACAGUAAUGCAAGAAGUAACUCUUUGAGAUUAAGUUUGAUUGGUGACCGACGAGGUGACCGGCGGCGGAGUAACACACUGGAUAUAAUGGAUGGACGGAUAAACCAUAGCAGUAGUUUAGCAAGGACUAGAAGCCUUUCCUCUCUAAGAGAGAAAGGAAUGUAUGACGUGCAGUCCACUACUGAGCCUACCAACUUGAUGGCCACCAUUUUUUGGAUAGCAGCAUCUUUAUUAGAAUCAGAUUAUGAAUAUGAAUACCUCCUGGCUCUCAGGCUUCUCAACAAACUGCUUAUCCAUUUGCCUUUGGAUAAAUCAGAGAGUCGAGAGAAGAUUGAAAAUGUACAAAGCAAAUUGAAAUGGACUAAUUUUCCAGGACUUCAGCAGCUCUUUCUUAAGGGUUUUACCUCAGCAUCUACACAAGAAAUGACCGUGCACCUCCUCAGUAAACUCAUUUCUGUCUCCAAACAUACAUUGGUGGAUCCUUCCCAAUUGUCAGGCUUUCCUCUUAACAUCCUUUGCUUAUUGCCUCACUUAAUCCAGCAUUUUGACAGCCCAACUCAGUUUUGCAAAGAAACAGCUAGUCGAAUAGCAAAGGUUUGUGCAGAAGAAAAAUGCCCAACACUUGUCAAUCUGGCACACAUGAUGAGUUUGUACAGUACGCACACGUAUUCCAGAGACUGUUCUAACUGGAUCAAUGUCGUGUGCAGAUACCUGCAUGACUCCUUCUCAGAUACAACAUUUAAUCUUGUGACUUAUCUUGCAGAGCUGUUAGAGAAAGGAUUGUCCAGUAUGCAGCAAUCAUUACUACAGAUUAUUUAUAGUCUAUUGAGUCAUAUUGACCUGUCUGCAGCCCCAGCCAAGCAGUUUAAUCUGGAGAUCAUAAAGAUUAUUGGCAAAUAUGUACAGAGUCCUUACUGGAAGGAAGCCCUUAACAUAUUAAAGCUGGUGGUGUCACGCUCUGCGAGUCUUGUCGUACCCAGUGAUAUCCCCAAGACCUAUGGAGGAGAUACAGGUUCUCCUGAAAUAUCCUUCACUAAAAUUUUUAAUAAUGUUUCUAAGGAGUUGCCUGGGAAGACCUUAGAUUUUCAUUUUGAUAUAUCUGAGACACCAAUUAUUGGAAACAAAUAUGGUGAUCAGCACAGUGCGGCUGGAAGAAAUGGGAAACCAAAAGUUAUUGCUGUCACUAGAAGUACUUCCUCAACUUCUUCUGGUUCUAAUUCUAAUGCCUUGGUUCCUGUUAGUUGGAAAAGGCCACAGUUAUCACAGCGAAGAACAAGAGAAAAGCUAAUGAAUGUGCUUUCUCUCUGUGGUCCAGAAUCUGGCCUCCCAAAGAACCCAUCAGUUGUAUUUUCUUCUAAUGAGGAUUUGGAAGUCGGUGACCAACAGACUAGCCUAAUUUCUACAACAGAAGACAUAAAUCAAGAGGAAGAAGUAGCUGUGGAAGAUAAUAGCAGUGAACAACAGUUUGGUGUUUUUAAGGAUUUUGACUUUUUAGAUGUUGAAUUGGAAGAUGCAGAGGGUGAAAGUAUGGACAAUUUCAACUGGGGAGUUCGCAGGCGCUCACUGGACAGUAUUGACAAAGGGGACACUCCAUCCCUCCAGGAGUACCAGUGCUCUAGUAGCAACCCCAGCCUGAACCUCACCAAUCAGGAGGAUACAGAUGAGUCCUCGGAAGAAGAAGCGGCACUUACAGCAAGCCAGAUACUCUCACGCACACAGAUGUUAAACAGUGAUUCUGCCACUGAUGAAACAAUACCAGACCAUCCUGACUUACUUCUCCAGUCUGAAGAUUCCACUGGCAGCAUCACAACAGAGGAAGUGCUUCAAAUCAGGGAUGAGACCCC
rnacentral:sRNA from 1 species